CAUCAAUAUUCGUUCUCUGCGUCUCUUGCACGUGCACCAUGCAAAUAGAAUAAAAUUCGGGAAAAGCGCUCAUCUGAAAAAACGUUCAAACUGUGCGAGACCGUAGACGCCGGGUUCGCUCAUGACGCGCAUCACGCAACACGCAACGGAAAGAAGAAACCAAGUCCAAGGCGAUGCACGAGUUCGCGCAGCCGAAUCGAACCAGCCGGUUACCAAAUGAAAUACGUUCGGUAGCGAUCGAGUUGUGAUGCUGAGCCAUUGAUACGUUGAGAGAUGGAACGAUCCACAAACGAGAGAUUCUCAAAAUGGGGUCGAUGGAGAGUAAAAAAAAAAGAGAAUUAUCGUGCUGAUAUGAAAAAAAUAAAAAUAAAAAAGAUAGAGAG
rnacentral:misc_RNA from 1 species